UACGGAGGGUGCAAGCGUUGUCCGGAUUUAUUGGGUUUAAAGGGUGCGUAGGUGGCCUUGUAAGUCAGUGUUUAAAGUCUUCAGCUUAACUGGAGGAGUGGCAUUGAUACUGCGAGGCUUGAGUAAAGUUGAGGUAGGCGGAAUUGAAGGUGUAGCGGUGAAAUGCAUAGAUAUCUUCAAGAACACCGAUUGCGAAGGCAGCUUACUAAGCUUUAACUGACACUGAGGCACGAAAGCGUGGGGAUCAAACAGG
rnacentral:rRNA from 1 species